GUUUUACUUUUCAUACAAUUCAUGCUUUGUAUCACAUACAACAAAUCCUAAGAUUUCAACAUCUAGGAUUUUCCAGAAAAAUAAGUUCUUCCUUUUGCAUUCUUCUUCAUGGGACCUCACAGUGCACCCCUACACACCAUGAAGAGCAUCUCAUUGAAUGAAAAGAGAGGGUCAUGUAACUCUACUUGCUCUUAUGACCAGACGGCCUGAUGAUUACCCAAUCUGAGUACUUUGCUACUCAGAACAUCUAAUCUAAUUCACAUAUAUUAGCUCAUAUCUAAAAUCAGAUCAUAACACAUCUCAUACAUUGCUAAAUUUAAAUUUCAACUCUACAUACAUAUAUGUUCAUGUUAUAAUGAACCUAGCUUCGAUACCAUUUGAAAGGAAGCUGGUGCAUUUGUGCAUGUAUUUUUAAAAAUUUACAGUAGAACAUAUAUA
rnacentral:lncRNA from 1 species